AGAGUGUUAGGGUUUGAUCAUGUUCUUUUUAUAAGGCGUACAAAACAUAAGUCUAUAAAUGUUUUUAUAACCUAGCUUCUCAUUCAAUUCUCACAAAAUGUUAGGAUUCAUUCGAAGUUUUUGUUCUUGAUCUACAAUUUUCUCAAGCAUUCUUAUAGCGAAAGAAACGUCUGCUAAAUACAGAGCCAUUGGAAUUGUUCCAAAGGCAACUUGUGGAUGUUUCUAGUCUU